rnacentral:rRNA from 1 species
AUGGUAUCACCGGCGGGGCUAGUGGCAGAGAAAGCAGCAGCGACAGCUUUCGCAAACGUCGUCAUGGGGAGACUGAAUAGGGAGCUCGGCAAGAAGUACGACAUGUGGAAGAACAUCAAAACUGAAAUCUCAUCUCUUCAGACAGACCUUGGCAUCCUGGCCGCAGCCGUAGAUGACCACCAGAGCAUGGCUGCCCCUCCUCGCACAGCCGUCGCGAGGGUGUAUGGCGAGGAGAUCCGUGAGCUGACCCAUGAUAUCGAGGACUGCGUCGAGCGCUUCCUGCACCGCGUCACCUGCAAGCCAGGAACAUCGCGGGCUCGCCGGUCCGCUCAUGCCAUCCGGACGUUCCGCACCCGUCUCAGGUUUGCUGCCAAGAUCAAGGAGUUCAGGAACCGCGUGGCCGAAGCACGCAACCGGGCGUUGAAUGCUGCCAUGCUCCCUGAUGGUGCCCAAGCAUCGAACAACGAGACCAUGCACCAAUCAGCGGGAUUUGUGCAGGAUUGCUGUCAUCCUGUGGGUAUCGCGGAGGCCACCAUGGAGCUUCGCAGGCUGCUCAACAUCGAACCAAACGAAGAUGAAGCAGAGGGCACAAGUAACAACACCCUGGCUGCACCUCAGCUACGGGUGGUCGCCAUAGUUGGAUUUGGUGGUUCAGGAAAGACAACCCUUGCAAAGGCAGUCUACGAUACUGUCCACAAUGAAGGAUCACUCCAUUGUGUUUGGGUUGAUGGGCACUCAUUGGAUAAUAAGGAUGCCAAUGGGAUCGUCAAACAUAUACAAGAAAAGCUUCAGCUGGGGGAAGGGUCUUCCACAACAUCUCCCACAGAAUACCACAAGGACAGGUACUUAAUUGUCAUUGAUGACAUUAAGGGCAAACACUUGAUGCACUGGAAUGCACUGAGGAAUGCCUUCAGGGGCAAUGGCAGAAUAAUUGUGACAACAGCCACUCAGUCCGUAGCUAAUAGAUGCUGCAAUCAUCCCAGGGAAGAGGAUAGAUGUACCUUUGGUUAUGUGUACAACAUGAAAUGUCUUGAAGAAGAAGAUUCUCGAAAAAUAGCGCUCCUGGGAAAAUGUACACCUGAGUUAUUGCUGGGUUCGGCAAAACUCCUGAAGAAAUGUGGUGGCCUUCCACUUGCUCUGUAUAGUGUGGCCUGCCAAUUGAGCUGUGAAAAUGUACUUACGGGGAGAUUCUGCAACAAAUUGUGCAACGACCUGGGUACCUAUCUGGAACGUGAAGACGACGAACCUAACUUUGCAAGGCUUCGAGGUGUGCUUUGGGAAAAUUACACCAGUUUGUCUGAUUACACUGUCAGGACCUGCUUGUUGUAUCUAGGUAUAUUCCCAAUUGAUCAUCCCUUCAAGAAGAAUGUCAUAAUCAGGCGAUGGUUGGCUGAAGGAUACGCACGCCAUUAUCAUGGCAGGCACCAAACUGUAGCUGAGGAAAACUUCAAGACAUUUCUCAACCGGAGUAUCAUUCUGCCUGUUGUCUCAAUCAGCAAUGUCAUGGGAAAGACGUCCAAAGCUUAUGGUAUCAUGCACACGUUCACAUUGCACAAGUCCAUGUCUACAAAAUUCAUCAUGCCAUUUGGUGCUCAGCACAAAAAAGUCCGUCACUUCUUCAUCCAUGAUAGCAGCAGUGCAAAUUCCAGAAUGGUGCCUAACAUCGAUUUAUCUCGUGUCCGGUCUCUGACAGUCAUAGGGAAUGCAGGUGAUGCUAUUUCCAGUUUUAACAAGUACAAACUUACACGAGUGUUGGACCUGGAAGGGUGCAUUGAUGUGAAAGAUUGCCAUCUUAAAGAGAUAUGCAUGCUAUGGAAUCUGAGAUACCUAAGCCUAGGGCCCAAUAUCAACGUGAUUCCCAAGGAAAUUGCACAACUAAAGUUGCAAGAGACACUUGAUGUAAGCAAGACAAUGGUGAAUGUGCUCCCAGUGGAAGCUAUUGGACUACCCUGUUUGAUUCAUCUGAUUGGAAAGUUUAAGCUUCAAAACCCAGUCAAGACAGAGAAGGUGCCAAAAGAAAUUAUGUUAAGAGACCGUUUCAGGAUUUGUUGCCGACAAGGGUCAGGGUUUUUUGCAACUUAUGGACCAUAUGAAAAGGUUGAACAAGGUCAGGAUAUGGUGUGA